GCCCGGGUGGUGAAAAGGGAGACACGACUGCCUUAAAAGCAGUUGCCAGUUAUGGCAUGCGGGUUCGAUUCCCGUCCCGGGUA
rnacentral:tRNA from 1 species